GGGAACCCCCUGCUUCUGUGUGUCAGGUGUUACUCGGGGUGCGCCAGUGGAAGCGGGAGGCAGUUGCAGCUUUCAGAAUCUAGGAGGUCGUCUUCACCCAGGGAGGGUCAGCAUGUGGAGAGGGUCACCUGGGAGAGGCCCCGGUGUCAGCCUGCACUUGCUGUCAGUAAAUGGUAUGACAUUGAGCACCAAGGAGCUCAGCCAGCCCCUCGAGGGAAGUCCCAGCUGCCCCCUGGGGGAAGGGCGGGGAGGCAUGAAAACAAUGACCCCACCGGCUGGCGGGGGUGACCGUGUUAUGCAAAGUGUACACCAUGUAGCAUGAGCACCGGGCCGGGAGCCCCCAAGGCUGCUGGGGAAUCAGGGAGACACCAAAGAGGAGGUGGCCUUUCCCUUGAAGGGUGAAGGAUCGGUAGGAGUCUGUGGGAGAGUGGAAGCUGCAGGAGGGGAAGGAGGGAGGGAAGGAGGCCCAGAGGAAGGAGGGAGGCUCUUGCAUUCCAGGCAGGUAUGGGAGCUCCUGGCAGAGUUUGCAGUACCCAGUGGCUCAGUGUGGUUGGAGUUGGCUGUGGGCCAGCUGGGUGGGUAGACAGGGGCCAGGUCUGGAGGGGUUUUUAGUGCUGUGCUGAGGGGUCUGAAGUCCAUCCCGCAAGUUGUAACUGGGAAGUGUCACGGUGGUGGGUUAGAGCCACGUCAUUCAAACUUUCUCAAAUUCCCGUACAUAGAGACCUAGUGUGCACACUCGCAGCCCAGGCUUGUGAGCUGCAGUCGCCCUUGCCAUGUGCAGCUCGUUCUGGCGUGUUCUGUUCUGCUUCUAUUCUGGCUCAUUUGUUCUUUGAACAAUGCUGUUUGCAAUCCUCUACAUUGGCUUCCUGUCUCCCUGAAUAUUUUUGAUCUGCAGUUAGAACAACACUGGAUUGGCAAGAGGGAGUCUGAGGUGGGAACCCAGGCAGAGGCUGCUGUCAGUCCAGCUAGGAUGAGACGCGGGUGCCAGGCAGUGGGCCUGGGGCAGACCCCAGGGACUCCGCAGUGAAGACCCCACCUCAGUGGUCCUGGGCCCCAGGCCUCAAGAGACUUGGGGCAGCUCCCGAAGCAACAAGAGGGGUCCUGUCAUCGUGAGGCGUGUUGAGGAUCCAGAAGCUGUGGUUUCAUAACUCAGUAACUGUGUGGUGUCUGAAAGCCAUUUCAUUAAAUGUCACAUGGAAUCAAAAUAGAAAUUACAUCUCUGGGACAAAGCCCAUUGAGCCAGGAGCCAGGGAUUCUGAAUUGGAACCAGAAUAGCCUCUGAAGCUGGGACUGUGGAUCCAAGGCUGCCCCCACCCCCUGGGUCUCGCUCACAUCUGAACUCCCCAGAGGGGGCAGGUGGUCCUGGAGCCUAGCCUACCUGCCGAGAGUCAGAGGUGGCUGCAGGGGAACCAUGACAGCCCUCCUUCUCACACUCAUCCUGGGCACCCUGCACCAGCAGAAGGGUUAACAUGUACAGUCACCCAUCCCUAGCCCCUUCUGGGAGGGAAGCAUAUCUUACGGAUGGCGACCUUGAGGCUCAGGGAGGUUAAGGUGCCAGCCUGAGAUCACACAGCCAGUGAGAGGCAGAGAGAGGGCUUAAACUCCAAACGAUGGCUCCAGAGCCCCCUCUCUUUUCCAUGCCCUGGGCUGCCUCUUUCCCCAGUGCACCUUGCUUUUUGGAACCAGAUGACCAACGUGGAGAGACAUGAACUGAUUCAAUCAGAGUGUAUGGGGAAGGGACUUAGAGACCCUGGCAUUUUUAAAGCUCCCUGGUAAUUCUCACAUGCGGCUAGGGUGGGGCGCCUCUGCUCUGGGGAAUAGGGAAGGGGUGUAAGUGGCCCUGUGUCUGCCCUCUGUCCCCACCUGCCACCUGCUGGUCCAUCCAUUCAGCCGUUGCACGGACAGGUUGCCUUCUGGGGGCUGCUAGCCCCCUUGCACUGGGCAGCGCUGUGUCCCCUCUGCCCCUCCCCCCAGCAUAUGCUCCUUGCUCUGCCCCUGCUGCAGGUGGGCCAUGCUUGGAGGGGCGCAGGAGAGCUGAGAUGGGUUGGAGAUGGAUCAGGCCUCGAGGGGGUGCCUGGUAAGCCCCGGGAAGGGUAGGGAGGAAGAGGAGGGAGAGGAGAGGGCAGUGCAAGGGCAGCGACCCCCAGCCUUGCCCCCGUUUUGAGCAUGGGGAAAGUGUACACAGGUAGUGAGGAAAUGCCUGCAUUUGGGUGCGUGUUCAUUUCUAAUCCAUUUUCACUUUUUGUGUUUUCUUUCUAUCUACUUUUUAAAGGUUUGUUUCUUUUCUAACUUCCUGUUUUAGAUGUAUACUUUAAUUUCUUUAUUUAUUUUUAUUUUUUUUUGAGAUGGAGUCUCGCUCUGUCGACAGGCUGGAGUGCAGUGGCAUGAUCUUGGCUCACUGCAACCUCUGCCUCCCAGGUUCAAGCGAUUCUCCUGCCUCAGCCUCCUGAGUAACUGGGAUUACAGGCGCGCACUACCACACCCAGCUAAUUUUUGCAUUUUUAGUAGACAUGGGGUUUCACCUUGUUGGCCAGGAUGGUCUUGAUCUCUUGACCUCGUGAUCCGCCCACCUCGGCCUCCCAAAGUGCUGGGAUUACAGGCGUGAGCCACUGGGCUCGACUUAGUUUCUUUAUUUGAAGAUAAGGGUUUUUUUUAUUCUGUUUUGUUUUUGAGACAGAAUCUCACUCUGUUGCCCAGGCAGGAGUGCAGUGGCACAGUUGUAGCUCACUACAACCUCAACCUCUUAGGCUCAAGUGAUCCUCCCACCUCAUCUGAGUGGCAGGGACUACAGGCGUGCACUACCACACCCAGCUAAUUUUUGUAUUUUUUUUUGUAGAGAUGGGGUUUCGCCCUGUUGCCCAGGCAACAAGCAAAUCUGCCCACCUCAGCCUUCCAAAGUGCUGGGAUUACAGGCAUGAGCCACCACACCCGGCUAGAGAUAAGUUUCUCAAACUCCUGGGCUUAAGCUAUCCACCCACCUCGGCCUUCCAAAAUGUUGAGACUACAGGUGUGAGCCUUUGCACUCGUCUUGAAUUCCUUUUUCAACAGUAUGUUUCCUACUAAAAACACUUAUGAAAAGUGUGUAUUUUCUCUUACCCCUUCUCCUUUUUUGCCAUCUAAUUUUAGAUUAUAUUUCUUAGUGUUUGUCUUUAAAAUGUAUUUAUACCUCUAUGCUAUCUUUUUCUUAUUUUUGCCCCCUCCCCCAUAAGAAAGAUAAAGAAAUCAGAGACUUAGACCGGGUGUGGUUGUUCCCGCCUGUAAUCCCAGCACUUUGGGAGGCUGAGGCUGAUGGAUCACUUGAGGUCAGGAGUUUGAGACCAGCCUGGCCAACAUGGUGAAACCCUGUCUCUACUAAAAAUACAAAGUUAGCCAGGCGUGGUGGC